rnacentral:lncRNA from 1 species
AUGUGUUGUUUUCAUGGCAGCUUAGACAUCUUUGAAAACUCAAAAGUUUCAGGGUCUCCCCUAGGGUCCUACUGUGACGUCAGCAUGGGCUUCCUGGAUUCCCGAGUCUUGCUGGGCAGGGUGCUUCUCUGGGAGCUCCGUCCAGGCGAGAAGGCUAGUGCCUACAGUCCGAACAAUGAAUGCAAAUUUCAAGUGAACACAGGCGCACGUGUGCAAUCCACUCAAGUUGCAGGUCUACUGAAGAAAACAAUCAUUGAUACACACUUUUGCUUUUAGUGUAUUAAAAUUCAGUUCUUAAUGAAACACACACUGAAGAUGCCAUCUUUCAUCAUUAUGGUAUGUGCCUAUUUAU